rnacentral:misc_RNA from 1 species
GAACUGCGAUACGUAAUGCGAAUUGCAGAAUUCAGUGAGUCAUCGAAAUUUUGAACGCAUAUUGCACUUCCGGGUUAUGCCUGGAAGUAUGUCUGUAUCAGUGUCCGUAAAUCAAAGUUGCGUUUCUUCCUUCCGUGUAGUCGGUGGAGGAGAGUUGCAGAUGUGAAGUGUCUCGCUGUGGUUGGCAUUUGUUGUGAAUGCACAGCUUG